GUCUACGGCCAUACCACCCUGAACACGCCCGAUCUCGCCUCAUCUCGGAAGCUAAGCAGGGUCGGGCCUGGUUAGUACUUGGAUGGGAGAACCAUGGCAGCAGAUU
rnacentral:rRNA from 1 species